AUGUCGACGACGGCCACCGUCGCCCGCGCCCACCUUGAGAACAAGCUCGCCCUCGCCAAACGCUGCUCCAGAGAGGCGACGCUCGCCGGAGCCAAGGCGGCGGCCGUCGCCGCGGUCGCGUCUGCGGUGCCAACGCCGGCGAGCGUGCGGAUGCUGCCGUGGGCCAAGGCGAACCUGAACCCCACCGGCCAGGCGCUCAUCGUCUGCACCGUCGCCGGGAUGGCCUACUUCAUCGCCGCCGACAAGGCCAUCCUCUCGCUGGCGAGGAGGCACUCGUACGAGAGCGCCCCCGACCACCUCAAGGACACCUCCUUCCAUGGUGGUGCCGCCGCAGCUCGUCCCCGUCCGCCGGCAUUCUUCAGGCCUUGA
rnacentral:rRNA from 1 species